GGGGAAUAUUGGACAAUGGGCGCAAGCCUGAUCCAGCCAUGCCGCGUGGGUGAAGAAGGCCUUCGGGUUGUAAAGCCCUUUUGUUGGGAAAGAAAAGCAGCCGGCCAAUACCCGGUUGUUCUGACGGUACCCAAAGAAUAAGCACCGGCUAACUUCGUGCCAGCAGCCGCGGUAAUACGAAGGGUGCAAGCGUUACUCGGAAUUACUGGGCGUAAAGCGUGCGUAGGUGGUGGUUUAAGUCCGUUGUGAAAGCCCUGGGCUCAACCUGGGAACUGCAGUGGAUACUGGAUCACUAGAGUGUGGCAGAGGGUAGUGGAAUUCCCGGUGUAGCAGUGAAAUGCGUAGAGAUCGGGAGGAACACCAGUGGCGAAGGCGGCCAACUGGCUCGAUACUGACGCUGAGGUGCGAAAGCGUGGGGAGCAAACA
rnacentral:rRNA from 1 species